AUUGAACGCUGGCGGAAUGCUUUACACAUGCAAGUCGAACGGCAGCACGGGGCAACCUGGUGGCGAGUGGCGAACGGGUGAGUAAUACAUCGGAACGUGCCCAAUCGUGGGGGAUAACGUAGCGAAAGUUACGCUAAUACCGCAUACGAUCUACGGAUGAAAGCGGGGGAUCGCAAGACCUCGCGCGAAUGGAGCGGCCGAUGUCAGAUUAGGUAGUUGGUGGGGUAAAGGCUCACCAAGCCAAUGAUCUGUAGCUGGUCUGAGAGGACGACCAGCCACACUGGAACUGAGACACGGUCCAGACUCCUACGGGAGGCAGCAGUGGGGAAUUUUGGACAAUGGGCGCAAGCCUGAUCCAGCCAUUCCGCGUGCAGGAUGAAGGCC
rnacentral:rRNA from 1 species